GACCCCAGGUCAGGCGGGACUACCCGCUGAGUUUAAGC
rnacentral:rRNA from 10 species